UUGCUGCAGCAAUUAUGUCUACCCAAUCCACAGCAACAAACCAAUAUUGAGACUGGAGUUGGCUCUGAUAUCAUGUUUGAUAAAAUGGACCAACUCUAACUCCACCCCAACAAAUUCGACGUCUAAACUUGAGCUUUUGGGAAUUCUGGAUUUGCUGCUCUUCAACGUCUCUAUUAGAAGUGGAAUGGGAUGUUCAGCCAUUGGAAGCGGUGCCAAACACUUUGCUGCCAAAAUUGGUAAUGGCAGCUUUCCAAUUCACAUCCUCCUCGCUGCUGCUGCCGCUGCUGGUCGGCCCUGCCAUUUUCCUCUACGACGCUGAAAUCAAGUUCCCUCCUUCCAAAUUGCUCAGGCAUGCGACCAAAAAAAGUGGGCUUUUCGGGCUAAACUGGCUCAAUUAGUCCAAUGGGUAGCCUAUAUGGGCCGCCUUUGACCUAUCCGGAGCUUCCAUGCUUCUUUCGCCGAUUCAACGCCGCAGUUGGCUAGCCUCACCGUCGCAAACCUCUCAAAUUUGGAAGCAAUAAAAUUUCAAAACCACCAAUUUUCUCGUCCUUUCUCCCCGUGGCAAAGAAGGAGAAGCAGAGAGGAGUCCUAACUUUAGUUUUCCAGAUACUGCUUUGGAGACCUCCUUAAAUAUAGAUAGCCAUAAAAUGCUAAUUUCUCAAAAUCAUUAUCCAUUUCUAAGCUCCCGAGGCAACAGAAAGAUUGGGAAGAAAUAACACAGCAAAGAUCGAAUGUUCAUAACGAAAACUGAAUGGGUAGCGACAAAUUCAAAGAGGUCAACCGUUUCGAGCGCAUUCCCUUCUAUUGUAGCGUGACUAGAAUACCAUUGCAUCUGUUAGAGUUUGGACCUGGAAAACCACAUCAUGCAAUUAAAGAAUUAAAUAUCAAGACCAAAAGACCAAAAACUGGAAGGAGCUUCUCACUGAUGGGCCAUUCACUAGGAAGACUUGAUAACAAUUCAGAAUCCUAAAGCACUUGACAGUAAGGUCACUUUGGAUUUUGACCUUUUUAAGAAUGGUCUGAAAGUUGAUGAUGAAGGUAAGCUAUAUUCAUCAUCACAGAUAGAUUUUUCUUUGUUAAGAAAAAAUAGAAAAUUAUUAGCACACUAGUAACAUAAAUUAUUAGCGUCAUUGGUUACUCAAGUGACAAGUUAGUGAAAUGGAGAAAUUUUCAUUUUUACUAAGUAAUUAUUUUAUAUUAAUGUUUAAUACAAUGUAAUUUAAGUUAAUAGAAAGAAUGAUUUUGAUAUAUUUUAUCAUAGUAAUUUACUAGAUCUGAUUAAACAUACAGAUAGGAAGAACAAUUGCAAACUUUUGGUGUAGUUGAAGUGGUGUUAAUCUUUAGGAUUCAUCAGUUGGCCAGGGAUCGAAUCUUUAUGCUAAUACCCAUUCAAUUUUUCGCCAGUUAUCAAGCAGGUUCAUACUGAUUCACUUUGGGUUUACAAGUAAACCAAACUGGACCGGACCAGGUUCCAAUUCCAUAUUAAACCGGUCUUCUCCGGAUUUAACAACCAUGGUAUUCUCUAUGUCAUUAUGACUUUGUAAACGUUGGGGGAGUUGGGUAUCACAUUUGCUGGGUCACAUAGAUUAUCACAUAGCGUGUGAGAAGUAGUGGGUGAAAAUGAUUGUGGUAUAUCAUAAGAAACAGCAAAAUUUGUUUCUUGCAUAUGUUGUGGUCAAAAUGCUUCUAGAAUUUGUUUAUUGGAUAUUUCCCUCCCAAUAACUAAAAGUGGACUUGAUAGCUCACAAGAGUCAUUGAGAAAUUGAAGAUUAAUCUAUUCCUUAUGUAGGAGAUAAAGAUUAUUUCUGUAAUAGUAUUUGUUAAUCCCUACACGGAGCUUGACGAAGAAGAUGAGGAAGAAAGUCCAAAGAAGAGAAGGCCACUGAGGAUGCAGAAAAUGCUAGUUUUUGAAGUGUAGAAUGCUAGCUUUUGAUAUUCUGUUUUGAUUUUGGUUUUUCUUGGAGAUUGCAAUGAAUUUUGGUCCUUAACAUUUUAGGACAAGGUUGGGUCAUGGUACAGCAAUCCAGGCACAGGAACUGCAGGAUCUGGAGCUGUGGGUGGUGAUGCCAUGGGAAAGUACUAGAAUGCAAAAGAAUAUUCAACCUGAAUCAAUUGCUAUGGAUGGUGGUUUAUCAACAAUUGCAGUGGCAAAGAAUAGUAAAGUGGGAUUUCCAACAGGAGAGUUAAAACACUUCUCUGGUUGGUGAGAAUUCCCAAAUCUUGUGCAAUUCUUGAGACUCUGAAGAAGAUGGAGCUGGUGUAGGUCAGCAGUAUUAACAUAUUCUUUUGAGGUGUGGUGAAAUUCAAACAGAUACUGUUGAGAAGGCAUUUCAUUCCAUUGCAUUGAUUUGUUUUGGCUGGUUAUAUGUACAAUAAAGAUGUAUUAGUCAGAAAUUAUUUAGUCCUGAUAAAACGCGGUCUUUGUCCAGUCCAAAGAGUGCCUUCUCACUCUUUUUGUACAGUAACAUGUGUAAAGGUGAAAUCACGGUUCCAAUCUGCCUUUAUACUGCAGCCUUUUACAUGUUGGUAUCAUUAAUUUGAUGUUGAAUUGUCAUAAUCUCAUGAUGGACAUCUAGGACCAUCUUCAUGGUUUUUCGAGGAGGCCCCAGUCCCAGCUGUUUCUUACCGAUAGUAACUUUUUACUACUAAUUUUCAGGUCUAUUUUUGGUGCGUAAAUAAAAUGUAUUUGACACUCUUCGCCAUGGAUUUGAGGGUUCUUUUCUCCUUUCAUUUUUCGAUUUGAAUGUGGCUACAUCCCUAUAUGUGGUUAUCGUCUGCUUGCAAAGUGCCUUUAAAAGCUGCAACUCUGAAGAUGGAGAAAUGGACUGCUAAUAUGGAAUCCUCACUCGGUAUAUUAAGUUUACUGCCGUCCUUGAGCCAUUGAAGGGCUAUGAUGCAGCAUUUUUCCUUGAUUUUUAUUUCUUAUUUUUUUUACAAAGGAAAGUGAGUAGCAUUGGAACUUGAGACCUUGUUCAAGAUGAGAUCAACAGAGGAUGCUUGUGGCGUUGGACGUUACUCUUUCACCAGAAAGGAGGGGAAAUGGAACUUACUGACUUGAACACACUUGGGAAGGGAAAAACAGGAUUAUCAAUCCUGGACAUGUUUACGCUACUAAUAAUAUACUCAACCCCUACACCAUAGCACAGAAUUUUGUUUAUUUAUUUAUUUGUUUUCAUUGCAUCAUGAAUUGUCAUCUCCACCUGAAACAAAACUAUGAUAAUACGGUAGGUGCACUGUCUACAUAUUUUGUUAGUCAAUGAUUGAAUUUUCCUGUCAUCAGGGGGAAGAAAUUGAGAUGUUCUUCUGUCAAGGCAGAGGACAAAGAAAUUCAUACCCCGUCAACCAAGAUUGCCUUUGGCAUCCAGGCGAGAGAGAGAGGACUCGAAUUCAUAUUUUGUAGCUGCC
rnacentral:misc_RNA from 1 species